rnacentral:sRNA from 1 species
GAUGGAGCAGUGGUGCGCUCCUGUAAUCCCAGCAACUUGGGAGACUGAGACAGGGGAAUUGCGAGUUCAAAGCCAGCCUCAGCAAAAGUGAGGCACUAAGCAACUCAGUGAGACCCUGUCUCUA